rnacentral:rRNA from 1 species
UACGGGGGGUGCGAGCGUUGUCCGGAAUCACUGGGCGUAAAGGGUGCGUAGGCGGCCGUGCAAGUCUGGCGUGAAAGCCCCGGGCUCAGCCCGGGAAGUGCGCUCGAAACUGCGCGGCUCGAGUGCCGGAGGGGAGAGUGGAAUUCCUGGUGUAGCGGUGAAAUGCGUAGAUAUCAGGAGGAAUACCGGUGGCGAAGGCGGCAUCCUGGACCGGUAUUGACGCUGAGGCGCGAAAGCCAGGGGAGCAAACGGG